AUUGCCAAUGUCAUUAUUCUAAAAACUUUACCCUUAGGUUUAAUUAACAGCUGAUAGGUUUAUGCCAUAUAUAGCUGGUUUCAUUAUUUGGCACUAUUCAUCUUUAUGAAAUAUAAGCUGCAGCACUUUCUCUCAUUUUCUCCCUAUAUUCUAUCAUGGUAUAAAAGUUCAUCCUUGGCAGGUUCAAUCUCUCUCAAAUCUUGGCUUCAGAAUCUUCUGCCUUCAUAACAUCUCCACCCUGUUUUUCUGUUUUCCUUGCAUAUGCUGAACAAUUUCUUGAUUCUGAAGCUUUGCAUACCUGAAUUGCUCUUCAUUCUUUGAAUUCUUUCGGAUUUACCUUCAUCUCCUGACCUGUUAUCGCACAUCAAUUUUCAAUUUAUCGACCUAUUUUAGAUCUGCUAUUCUCUUGAUCGGCAGUUUUGAAUCAGACCCUUCUUCGUUUAUUCGUGAUCCAAAAUCCUCUGUAAAUCAGACCCUCUACUCCUGAUCUUGUCCAUGGAUUCUGCCAAUUCUUCCACCGAUGCCAACACAUUUCAGUUUUCUUCUCCUCCUAUACCUCCACUUAAAUUCCUUAUGGGAAACAUUAAAAAUCUGGUCACAACUCAAUUAACCACAUAUAAUUUUCCCAUUUAGCAUUCUCAGAUUUACAAAUUAUUCAAAGCUAAUGGGUUUGAAUUCCUUCUUGAUGGGAACCUCAAUCUGCCCUCUUCCGUUAACCAAUGAUAAUUUGGUUAACAACGCCCACUAUAGCUGGAAACUAAUCGAUCAAAACCUCGCUGCAGCUCUUUAUUCCAAUAUCUCUUCAUCUAUCUUUUCUCAUGUGUUAAAUCUUGAUACUUCUAUCAUUAUUUGGAGAACUUUGUCAAAAAGAUUUCAAACCUCAAGUAGAUUUGGGGUCAUACAACUCAAGAAUGAGCUUCAUAACAUCUCUAUGAAAACAAACUCCAUGAAUCAAUAUUUGAUCGAAAUCAAAACUUUGGUGGAUCAAAUAGUUGCUGCCGGUUCCCAUGUUGAUUCUGAAGAUAUUAUCUUUUAUAUCUUAAAUGGUCUUCCCACCUCCUAUAAUUUUUUCAAAACUUCUAUUCACACGAGGUUUGAACCCAUUUCUCUAGAAGAUCUUUAUGCUCUCUUAUGCAGCGAGGAAAUUCACUUAGCCACCAUCGUCGCAAAGGAACAAAGCUUAUAGCUCAGCUAACGCUGUUUUCCAAUAGGGGUCACGGUCGUACCAACUUCUGAAAUAGAAGAGGAAGAUCGUCAACGAAUUCCACGUCGAUCGGUCGACCAAGAUCUUCAACUGCUUGUCAAAUUUGUGGAAAGAUAGAGCACGCCACCUUCUCCUAUCGGCAUUGGUCCAACUUAGCGAGCUUCGUCACUUAUGACACCCAACUACAACAAUAUUCAGCAACCACAAUCAUAUAGUGGUAAUGAAUAUCUUGAGAUUGGCAACGGCGAGAGUCUUCUCAUUCAGCAUAGUGGCCAAGGAAUCUUACCAACUCCAAACCGUAAAUUUCUUCUUAAGAGACUUUUACUUGCUUCUCCUAUCUCUCAUAACUUAAUAUUUGUGCAUAACUUUGUUCGGGACAAUAAUUGCUCAUUUUAAUUCGAUUUAACUGAGUAUCAAAUAAAGGAUCCCAAAACGAACAACCAACUUCUCACUGGACGCGCCAAACAAAGUCUACUCGGUUAAUCCUCAAGAAGACAGCAGAAAGCACGCUCUCCAUACUCCAGUUAUAUCGAACACUGAUUGGCACCAAAAGCUCGGGCAUCUCAAUGCUGAAGUACUCAA